AUAACUUAGGGAGCUACCAUUUAAUUUUUAUGGGGGGGGGGGGGGGGGGGGUUGGGGGGGCUAGGAUGAAAUUUGAAAAAAAUAGGCAGGACAGGAGUUUUGAGUAAAAAAAAAGGCAGGAUGAGACACUUGCAAAAAAAAAAAGUCAGGACGACAAUUUAGGUAAAAAAAAGUCAGGAUAAACUAAAAGAGUGAAAAAUAAAAAGACAGGACAGAGAUUACAGCUAAAAAAAAAUGCAGGACAAAAUUUUUCAUCCUAGCCCCCCCAUAAAAAUCAAAUGGUAGCUCCCUUAGU
rnacentral:lncRNA from 1 species